rnacentral:rRNA from 2 species
GCAGCUAUAAUGCAGUCGAGCGGACCGACGGGAGCUUGCUCCCUUAGGUCAGCGGCGGACGGGUGAGUAACACGUGGGUAACCUGCCUGUAAGACUGGGAUAACUCCGGGAAACCGGGGCUAAUACCGGAUGCUUGAUUGAACCGCAUGGUUCAAUCAUAAAAGGUGGCUUUUAGCUACCACUUGCAGAUGGACCCGCGGCGCAUUAGCUAGUUGGUGAGGUAACGGCUCACCAAGGCGACGAUGCGUAGCCGACCUGAGAGGGUGAUCGGCCACACUGGGACUGAGACACGGCCCAGACUCCUACGGGAGGCAGCAGUAGGGAAUCUUCCGCAAUGGACGAAAGUCUGACGGAGCAACGCCGCGUGAGUGAUGAAGGUUUUCGGAUCGUAAAACUCUGUUGUUAGGGAAGAACAAGUACCGUUCGAAUAGGGCGGCACCUUGACGGUACCUAACCAGAAAGCCACGGCUAACUACGUGCCAGCAGCCGCGGUAAUACGUAGGUGGCAAGCGUUGUCCGGAAUUAUUGGGCGUAAAGCGCGCGCAGGCGGUUUCUUAAGUCUGAUGUGAAAGCCCCCGGCUCAACCGGGGAGGGUCAUUGGAAACUGGGGAACUUGAGUGCAGAAGAGGAGAGUGGAAUUCCACGUGUAGCGGUGAAAUGCGUAGAGAUGUGGAGGAACACCAGUGGCGAAGGCGACUCUCUGGUCUGUAACUGACGCUGAGGCGCGAAAGCGUGGGGAGCGAACAGGAUUAGAUACCCUGGUAGUCCACGCCGUAAACGAUGAGUGCUAAGUGUUAGAGGGUUUCCGCCCUUUAGUGCUGCAGCAAACGCAUUAAGCACUCCGCCUGGGGAGUACGGUCGCAAGACUGAAACUCAAAGGAAUUGACGGGGGCCCGCACAAGCGGUGGAGCAUGUGGUUUAAUUCGAAGCAACGCGAAGAACCUUACCAGGUCUUGACAUCCUCUGACAACCCUAGAGAUAGGGCUUCCCCUUCGGGGGCAGAGUGACAGGUGGUGCAUGGUUGUCGUCAGCUCGUGUCGUGAGAUGUUGGGUUAAGUCCCGCAACGAGCGCAACCCUUGAUCUUAGUUGCCAGCAUUCAGUUGGGCACUCUAAGGUGACUGCCGGUGACAAACCGGAGGAAGGUGGGGAUGACGUCAAAUCAUCAUGCCCCUUAUGACCUGGGCUACAYACGUGCUACAAUGGGCAGAACAAAGGGCAGGGAAGCCGCGAGGCAAAGCCAAUCCCACAAAUCUGUUAUCAGUUCGGAUCGCAGUCGGGAAGUAGACUGCGAUAAGAACGAAUAACUAGAAAUCGCGAUCAGCAGCUGC